rnacentral:rRNA from 1 species
UACGUAGGUGGCAAGCGUUGUCCGGAUUUAUUGGGUUUAAAGGGUGCGUAGGCGGCCCUGUAAGUCAGUGCUGAAAUAUCCCAGCUUAACUGGGAGGGUGGCAUUGAUACUGCGGGGCUAGAGUACAGAUGAGGUAGGCGGAAUUGACGGUGUAGCGGUGAAAUGCUUAGAUAUCGUCAAGAACACCUAUAGCGAAGGCAGCUUACUAGGCUGUAACUGACGCUAAGGCACGAAAGUGUGGGGAUCAAACAGG